rnacentral:rRNA from 1 species
CGUGAGGGAAAGGCGAAAAGAACCCCGGCGAGGGGAGUGAAAAAGAACCUGAAACCGUGUACGUACAAGCAGUGGGAGCACAGAGCAAUCUGUGUGACUGCGUACCUUUUGUAUAAUGGGUCAGCGACUUAUAUUCUGUAGCAAGGUUAACCGAAUAGGGGAGCCGAAGGGAAACCGAGUCUUAACUGGGCGUUAAGUUGCAGGGUAUAGACCCGAAACCCGGUGAUCUAGCCAUGGGCAGGUUGAAGGUUGGGUAACACUAACUGGAGGACCGAACCGACUAAUGUUGAAAAAUUAGCGGAUGACUUGUGGCUGGGGGUGAAAGGCCAAUCAAACCGGGAGAUAGCUGGUUCUCCCCGAAAGCUAUUUAGGUAGCGCCUCGUGAAUUCAUCUCCGGGGGUAGAGCACUGUUUCGGCAAGGGGGUCAUCCCGACUUACCAACCCGAUGCAAACUGCGAAUACCGGAGAAUGUUAUCACGGGAGACACACGGCGGGUGCUAACGUCCGUCGUGAAGAGGGAAACAACCCAGACCGCCAGCUAAGGUCCCAAAGUCAUGGUUAAGUGGGAAACGAUGUGGGAAGGCCCAGACAGCCAGGAUGUUGGCUUAGAAGCAGCCAUCAUUUAAAGAAAGCGUAAUAGCUCACUGGUCGAGUCGGCCUGCGCGGAAGAUGUAACGGGGCUAAACCAUG